rnacentral:rRNA from 1 species
UACAGAGGAGCCAAGCGUUGUCCGGAUUGACUGGGCGUAAAGCGCACGCAGGCGGUUGCGCGCGUGGGGUGUGAAAUCUGGCCGCUUAACGGCCAGGCGCCAUCCCAUACGGCGCGACUGGAGUGAUGCAGAGGUCGAUGGAAUUGCCGGUGUAGUGGUGAAAUGCGUAGAGAUCGGCAGGAACACCCAGGGGGAAACCAGUCGACUGGGCAUCUACUGACGCUGAGGCACGAAAGCGUGGGGAGCAAACAGG